rnacentral:rRNA from 1 species
GACGAACGCUGGCGGCGCGCCUAACACAUGCAAGUCGAGCGAAGCGGCGGACGGGUGAGUAACACGUGAGAAACCUGCCUUUCACAAGGGGAUAGCCUCGGGAAACCGGGAUUCAUACCCUAUGGUGAAAGAUGGUCUUGCGCCUGAUUAGCUAGUUGGUGGGGUAACGGCCCACCAAGGCCAGGUGCAGUAACCGGCCUGUGAGAGUGAACGGUCACAUUUGAACGGAGACACGGUCCAAAAUCUUACGGAAUGGGGCAGUGGGGAAUGUUGCACAAUGGAGGAAACGAUGAUGCAGCGAGGCCGGGUGAGCGAUGAAGGCGUUCGAGUCGUAAAGCUCUGUCCUAUGGGAAGCGGUACCAUAGGAGGAAGCCCCGGCUAACUACGUGCCAGCAGCCGCGGUAAUAC